rnacentral:rRNA from 1 species
UAAUGGGCGAAAGCCUGAACUAGCAACGCCGCGUGUGCGAAGAAGGCCUUCGGGUUGUAAAGCACUUUUUGAGAGGAGGAGGAAGGACGGUACUCUCAGAAUAAGUCUCGGCUAACUACGUGCCAGCAGCCGCGGUAACACGUAGGAGGCGAACGUUAUCCGGAUUUACUGGGCGUAAAGCGCGUGUAGGUGGUUUGGUAAGUAGGGCGUGAAAGCUCCUGGCUCAACUGGGAGAGGCCGUUCUAAACUGCCGAACUAGAGGAUGGUAGAGGGAGGUGGAAUUCCGGGUGUAGCGGCGGAAUGCGCAGAUAUCCGGAGGAACACCAGUGGCGAAAGCGGCCUCCUGGACCAUUCCUGACACUCAGACGCGAAAGCUAGGGUAGCAAACGG